rnacentral:rRNA from 1 species
AUGUUGCAUGAGAUGUCUAUGCUCUCAGGCGUAUGCCAGAUCAUGAUCCCAACUGCCCAGAUGGCAAUGCGUAAUCCGCCCAUCAAAGAAUUCGUCGCAUCUGUUUCCACAUUAUAUGGAACAGAAAGAAAGGUCGCCAUAACCAAAAAGGUGGUUUGGAUCAGCAUCAAAUUACCAAAAGGUGGAUUGGGUCAGCAUCAAAUUACCAAAGGUGGUUUGGAUCAGCAUCAAAUAAACAAAGCUAUGCUCCAUGAGGGUCUAAACAUACCGCACAGACAUAGAUCGGAUGUGUUUAUCCAAUGA